rnacentral:rRNA from 1 species
UACGAAGGGGGCUAGCGUUGUUCGGAAUUACUGGGCGUAAAGCGCACGUAGGCGGACAUUUAAGUCAGGGGUGAAAUCCCGGGGCUCAACCCCGGAACUGCCUUUGAUACUGGGUGUCUUGAGUGUGGAAGAGGUCGGUGGAAUUGCGAGUGUAGAGGUGAAAUUCGUAGAUAUUCGCAGGAACACCAGUGGCGAAGGCGGCCGACUGGUCCACAACUGACGCUGAGGUGCGAAAGCGUGGGGAGCAAACAGG